rnacentral:rRNA from 1 species
UGGGGAAUCUUGCACAAUGGGGGAAACCCUGAUGCAGCGACGCCGCGUGAGCGAUGAAGGUUUUCGAAUCGUAAAGCUCUGUCCUAUGGGAAGAUAAUGACGGUACCAUAGGAGGAAGCCCCGGCUAACUACGUGCCAGCAGCCGCGGUAAUACGUAGGGGGCGAGCGUUGUCCGGAAUUACUGGGCGUAAAGGGUUCGCAGGCGGCAUGACAAGUCCGAUGUAAAAGGCGAAAGCUCAACUUUCGUAAGCAUCGGAAACUGUCAAGCUUGAGUGAAGGAGAGGCAAGUGGAAUUCCUAGUGUAGCGGUGGAAUGCGUAGAUAUUAGGAGGAAUACCGGUGGCGAAGGCGACUUGCUGGACUUCAACUGACGCCGAGGAACGAAAGCGUGGGUAGCAAACAGG